UACGAAGGGUGCAAGCGUUACUCGGAAUUACUGGGCGCAAAGCGUGCGUAGGUGGUGAGUUAAGUCUGUCGUGAAAGCCCCGGGCUCAACCUGGGAAUGGCGAUGGAUACUGGCUCGCUAGAGUGCGGUAGAGGAGAGUGGAAUUCCCGGUGUGAGCAGUGAAAUGCGUAGAGAUCGGGAGGAACAUCAGUUGCGAAGGCGGCUCUCUGGACCAGCACUGACACUGAGGCACGAAAGCGUGGGGAGCAAACAGG
rnacentral:rRNA from 1 species